AGGUCCCUCCUCAGCCUUGAUAUGUGGCGCUACGGCGGGGGCAAACCCUAGCCGCCAGGCGGCCAGGGAGCGAGUACCAAGCUCCCCAGUUCACGGUUUACAUCCUGUUCUACGCAAUCAUUUUUGAGCGAUCUUGUUGCUUGUUUGUAUUCAGUGGGCGUUGCUUGGUGAUUUUGUCUUUGCUCGCUUCGGAUCACUGGAUCAGCGUUGCUUUCUUGCUAGUACUUUUUGGGAUCACUGGAUCAGCCUUGAUACAAGCAGUCUUUCGCUUGAUUUGCGUAGUCAUGAAUCGACGACUUCUGUUUUGGUUAAGUCGCACCAUUAGCCCCCUGCUCUGUGAGGGUGGACGCAGGGAAAAAUGCGAGAAAAGGGUAUGGGUGCAAGAUUAAUGGACCGGGCAGGGGCUCUACCUCUGUGGAAACAAGUGAUUUUCCUAAGAGUCAUAUCUUCUGCCAUAGCAUCAUCUUGCUGUUGUUUUCUUUCUUGUAUUACUAUCUGAUAUGUUUGCUCCCUUCAGUUUAUCUAUCGAGUGUAAUCAUGCUCUGAAUUCUGUUUAGAAGCGAAAUGAGGAGACUGAAACAUCUGAAUGUUUUCAUGUGGAGAACACACGUAUGGUCUUCAAAGUUCUCUGAUUGCUUCAUGUUCAGACUUUUCUUGUCUCACAUUCUUUCAUGUGAAUUAAAUCAACAUGUAGCGAUUGCAAAGCAAAUGAGGAAGCUAUACCAUCUGAAACUGUGCUGUUGAUAAUUCUUGGAUGGUCUUCAAAGUUCUCUGAUUGCUUUCUCUAUGUACCUUGUACCUAUGGUAUCCAAUUGAUGUUUGUCUAGUGCAGUAAUAUUCUAUUUUCUUUCACCAUGCCAUCUGAAUAUUGGUACUAGUUAUGCUUGAGUCUGAACUGUAUUGUUUAGUCACUGAGAAGCAACAUGAAGAGGUCUUGUAAUCUGAAGAUAUCAUCUGAUGUUGAUACAUACAUUCAUGGUCUUCAAAGUUCUCUGAUUGCUUUCUUUACCUACAUCUCCUUAUCUAAAGUGAUUCUGGGUUAUGUUUAGUUUCUUUUUCUGCUGAAGCUAUAGCUUUAGACUCUCUCUUAAUUAAAAGUUAUGAAGUUUUAUGUCAAGAAGCAAAAUGAGGAGGUCAUAUGAUCUGAAGUGUGAUGUUGAUACACCCAUCCAUGGUCUUCAAAGUUCUCUGAUUGCUUCCUGUACACAUUCUAUAUCAUCUUUAUUGAAGUCAUACUUAAAUUGUGGCCACCUUUAAAAACCAUGUAUCCUAUAGGUUUAUAUUUUUUUCUUAAUUAUGCUUGAGCAAAGUUUAUCAUUUUUAAGAUGUCAAAGAAACAAAAUGAGGAGGCUAUAUGAUCUGAAGUAUCUGAUGUUGAUACAUCCAUUCAUGGUCUUCAAAGUUCUCUGAUUGCUUCUGUACCAACAUGCUAGAUUGCCUUUAUUGAAAUUAUAUUUGAAAUGUGUCCAUCUUAAAAAAGAUUGUGUAUCCUUGCUUUAUAGUGUUUCUUAGUUAUGCUUGAGCAAAGUUUUAGUGUUUAAGAUGUCAAAAAAGCAAACUGAUCAGGUUAUAUUAUCCGAAGUGUCAGAUGUUGAUACAUCAAUUCAUGGUCUUCAAAGUUCUCUGAUUCCUGCUGUUGUCAUAUUUCCAUCUAAGUUAUUGCAAUUUAUGCCUUUCAGCUUGGUGUGCUAUAUUACUAUGAAACUGGUUUGAUUUUAGUUCUAGAACUAUAAAAGUCUGGUUUUUACUAUCCCAAUCCAAUAUCCUUAUAUAAAAAUCCCUCCCAUGCCAGACAUUCGAUAACCUCGAACUUUUUAAAAUCAUUCACUUUCAUCUUUUAUCUGGUUUAGUGGGCAUUUUCACCACUCGGCGACCGGGUGAUGCGGGGGCCAUGUCACCUGUUUUAGCUGACAUGUCAGACUAGUCAGCAACAGUAAAAAUAAAGCAAAAAUAAAUUUGGACUCCAUUUGGCCUCCCAAAUAUCUGCUUCCUUGUGUUCUCUGUCAGUCUAUUCUUCUGCAAAUUUCAUCCGCUCUAUCUCCUCUGUGGGUGUGAUUACAAGGCAUCAGCUUCGACUGAGCUUUGCCAUUUUCUUCUCCUUCAUCACCAUUGGUCCCUACAGUUUCCCCCAAAGCUUGGCUUUCCUUCUCCCUCACCACCAUCUCCACAUCAGAGUCUCGGACCAGGACAUUCCCUUAGAAUGACUAACAGCACAAGAUCUUCAAGGUCCACAGAUCACAAAACUUAACAGCUAAUUCUCUUGCAACACAAGCUAGAGCUUCUUCUCAGUUUGUAUGCUCGAACCCCCCUCACAGAGGCUCAUGGCCUGUACUGGACAGCCUUAGACCUGUAAUCUUGGAGACCAUAACUCUCCUAAGUGUUAAAAUUUCUUAAUUUAAUGUGUUCCGUUUCUUAUAAAAAAGGAGGAUGAGGCAUGCCAAGCAGGCAUGUGCUACACGAGAGCAUUUGCAGAGAUGGUGAGCAUGAAGAAAGGACACAAAAUGCAGUGGUGCCAUUUCCGCAGCCACAUGCGCGCACUGGUGGCACUGCACGGAGUGGGAAAAAGGAAGCAGGGCAAGCUGCUGGAAGAGGAGCACCUUGCCAGAUUGGUUAUGGGAGGUAGGAGGAUUUUGUUCACGAAUCUCGAUCUAGAGGAAGAAGCUCCACUGGAGAACAGCAACGUCAUGAAGCUGCACUCAACCUUCUAGGACGAGAAAGCAGGGGGUGAAUGGGAAGAAGCAGAUUUGUUUUUGGGUAUGAUAUAGCGAAUAGAUUUGUUUGCAGAUUUCAAAAAAAGGAACUAAGCUACUAGUGAACAAUUAAAUCAUACUGUAUCUGAUACUUAUUUGGGAAUUGAUGACAGUUUUUGCAGCAGACUAAAGGAAUAAUUUUUGUGUCGGUUUGUUGCUUGUUCUGCAUGAGCACAGCACUGACGUCACCAAAUUAUGAUGUAUUGCUGCUUAUCUUUGUAUCAAACGUCAAUCAAUUCAAUUUGAUUCAGAUUGCUUCAA